rnacentral:rRNA from 1 species
GACGAACGCUGGCGGCGUGCUUAACACAUGCAAGUCGAACGGAUUGCUUGGUGCUUGCACUGAGUGGUUAGUGGCGAACGGGUGAGUAACACGUGAGUAACCUGCCCCCUUCUUUGGGAUAAGCACCUGAAAGGGUGUCUAAUACUGAUUAUUCUGCUGGAAUCGCAUGGUUUUGGUUGGAAAGGUUUUUUCUGGUGGGGGAUGGGCUCGCGGCUUAUCAGCUUGUUGGUGGGGUAAUGGCUUACCAAGGCUUUGACGGGUAACCGGCCUGAGAGGGUGACCGGUCACAUUGGGACUGAGAUACGGCCCAGACGCCUACGGGAGGCGGCAGUGGGGAAUAUUGCACAAUGGACGAAAGUCUGAUGCAGCGACGCCGCGUGAGGGAUGAAGGCCUUCGGGUUGUAAACCUUUUUCGCUUUUGACCAAGGCAGCAUUUUGGUGUUGUCGAGGGUAUGAGGUAAAGAAGCUCCGGCUAACUACGUGCCAGCAGCCGCCGUAACAC